rnacentral:rRNA from 1 species
GGUUAAGCGACUAAGCGUACACGGUGGAUGCCCAGGCAGUCAGAGGCGAUGAAGGGCGUGCUAAUCUGCGAUAAGCGUCGGUAAGGUGAUAUGAACCGCAACAACCGACGAUACCCGAAUGGGGAAACCCAGUGCAAUCCGUUGCACUAUCAUGUCAUGAAUACAUAGUGGCAUGAGGCGAACCGGGGGAACUGAAACAUCUAAGUACCCCGAGGAAAAGAAAUCAACCGAGAUUCCCCAGUAGCGGCGAGCGAACGGGGAACAGCCCAGAACCUGAAUCAGUUUGUGCCUUAGUGGAAGCGUCUGGAAAGUCGCGCAGUAAAGGGUGACAGCCCCGUACACAAAAAGGCACUUGCUGUGAGUUCGAUGAGUAGGGCGGGACACGUGACAUCCUGUCUGAAUAUGGGGGGACCAUCCUCCAAGGCUAAAUACUCCUGACUGACCGAUAGUGAACCAGUACCGUGAGGGAAAGGCGAAAAGAACCCCGGCGAGGGGAGUGAAACAGAACCUGAAACCGUGUACGUACAAGCAGUGGGAGCACCUUCGUGGUGUGACUGCGUACCUUUUGUAUAAUGGGUCAGCGACUUAUAUUCUGUAGCAAGGUUAACCGUAUAGGGGAGCCGCAGGGAAACCGAGUCUUAACUGGGCGUUAAGUUGCAGGGUAUAGACCCGAAACCCGGUGAUCUAGCCAUGGGCAGGUUGAAGGUUGGGUAACACUAACUGGAGGACCGAACCGACUAAUGUUGAAAAAUUAGCGGAUGACCUGUGGCUGGGGGUGAAAGGCCAAUCAAACCGGGAGAUAGCUGGUUCUCCCCGAAAGCUAUUUAGGUAGCGCCUCGUGAAUUCAUCUCCGGGGGUAGAGCACUGUUUCGGCUAGGGGGCCAUCCCGGCUUACCAACCCGAUGCAAACUGCGAAUACCGGAGAAUGUUAUCACGGGAGACACACGGCGGGUGCUAACGUCCGUCGUGAAGAGGGAAACAACCCAGACCGCCAGCUAAGGUCCCAAAGUCAUGGUUAAGUGGGAAACGAUGUGGGAAGGCACAGACAGCCAGGAUGUUGGCUUAGAAGCAGCCAUCAUUUAAAGAAAGCGUAAUAGCUCACUGGUCGAGUCGGCCUGCGCGGAAGAUGUAACGGGGCUAAACCAUGCACCGAAGCUGCGGCAGCGGACGUAUCACCCAAGCAGAUUCACUGAAGUGGAUAACGAUUGACGGAGCGCAGCGACGUCAAUGCGCCAUCAAAGUCGAGUCGACUUCGGGAUACGUCCGUUGGGUAGGGGAGCGUUCUGUAAGCCGUCGAAGGUGUGCUGUGAGGCAUGCUGGAGGUAUCAGAAGUGCGAAUGCUGACAUAAGUAACGAUAAAGCGGGUGAAAAGCCCGCUCGCCGGAAGACCAAGGGUUCCUGUCCAACGUUAAUCGGGGCAGGGUGAGUCGACCCCUAAGGCGAGGCCGAAAGGCGUAGUCGAUGGGAAACGGGUUAAUAUUCCCGUACUGGGUGUUACUGCGAAGGGGGGACGGAGAAGGCUAUGUUAGCCGGGCGACGGUUGUCCCGGUUUAAGCGUGCAGGCUUGAGUUCCAGGCAAAUCCGGAACUCUUUAAGGCUGAGGCGUGAUGACGAGGCACCACGGUGCUGAAGUAACAAAUGCCCUGCUUCCAGGAAAAGCCUCUAAGCAUCAGGUAACAUCCAAUCGUACCCCAAACCGACACAGGUGGUCAGGUAGAGAAUACCAAGGCGCUUGAGAGAACUCGGGUGAAGGAACUAGGCAAAAUGGUGCCGUAACUUCGGGAGAAGGCACGCUGGCGCGUAGGUGAAGCGACUUGCUCGUGGAGCUGAAGCCAGUCGAAGAUACCAGCUGGCUGCAACUGUUUAUUAAAAACACAGCACUGUGCAAACACGAAAGUGGACGUAUACGGUGUGACGCCUGCCCGGUGCCGGAAGGUUAAUUGAUGGGGUUAUCCGUAAGGAGAAGCUCUUGAUCGAAGCCCCGGUAAACGGCGGCCGUAACUAUAACGGUCCUAAGGUAGCGAAAUUCCUUGUCGGGUAAGUUCCGACCUGCACGAAUGGCGUAAUGAUGGCCAGGCUGUCUCCACCCGAGACUCAGUGAAAUUGAACUCGCUGUGAAGAUGCAGUGUACCCGCGGCAAGACGGAAAGACCCCGUGAACCUUUACUACAGCUUGACACUGAACAUUGAGCCUUGAUGUGUAGGAUAGGUGGGAGGCUUUGAAGCGUGGACGCCAGUCUGCGUGGAGCCAACCUUGAAAUACCACCCUUUAACGUUUGAUGUUCUAACCUGGCGCCGUAAUCCGGCGUGGGGACAGUGUCUGGUGGGUAGUUUGACUGGGGCGGUCUCCUCCCAAAGAGUAACGGAGGAGCACGAAGGUCAGCUAAUCACGGUCGGACAUCGUGAGGUUAGUGCAAUGGCAUAAGCUGGCUUGACUGCGAGAGUGACGGCUCGAGCAGGUGCGAAAGCAGGUCAUAGUGAUCCGGUGGUUCUGAAUGGAAGGGCCAUCGCUCAACGGAUAAAAGGUACUCCGGGGAUAACAGGCUGAUACCGCCCAAGAGUUCAUAUCGACGGCGGUGUUUGGCACCUCGAUGUCGGCUCAUCACAUCCUGGGGCUGAAGUAGGUCCCAAGGGUACGGCUGUUCGCCGUUUAAAGUGGUACGCGAGCUGGGUUUAGAACGUCGUGAGACAGUUCGGUCCCUAUCUGCCGUGGGCGCUGGAAGAUUGAGAGGGGUUGCUCCUAGUACGAGAGGACCGGAGUGAACGCACCGCUGGUGUUCGGGUUGUCAUGCCAAUGGCAUUGCCCGGUAGCUAAGUGCGGAAAAGAUAAGCGCUGAAAGCAUCUAAGCGCGAAACUUGCCUCGAGAUGAAUCUUCCCUGACUCCUUGAGAGUCCUGAAGGGACGUUGAAGACGACGACGUUGAUAGGCCGGGUGUGUAAGCGCAGCGAUGCGUUGAGCUAACCGGUACUAAUGACCCGUGAGGCUUAACCUU